GCAAAGGUGACCUUGACGAGCAGGGCAAUGGCCAGACACGAGUAAGACACCAAAGAUGACUGGAAGCACUCAAAAAAGUUUACCACGCUGGAGCUAUGUCAGGUUGUACGAGGGCAGUUAAUGAAUAUACUUGCGACCCUUUUACUCUCAGACUCUCCUCCUUUUCUCGCUGCUGAACCCCUGCCAUCAUCAUGUCCAGACUGGCUGUCUCCAUGGUUGUGGCGCCAAGGUCACCGCAUCUUACAUCCUGAUGCAUUUUCAAGAAGACAUUAUUUGAUGUUAGAUGGCCAUUAUGUUCGCUUCAUAUGGACAGAGGACUAAUGGUACUCUUCCAUGAAGAGAAGCAAGUGGAUCAGUAUGUAGUAGCAGGUAUCAAUGUUUUCUCAUACUGAUGAUUCUGAAGUAAUUAGAUUGAGAAAAUUGCUUUAUUCCCCAAUUUCUCUCUGAAACCUUUGCCUUGUCCAUAGUCAUACCUAAAUGAGUUACUUUAUUUCCUAUAGCUCUAUUACUUUUUUCCCUAGAACCUGUCUCUUUAGUCUCCUUUACAAUACCAUGAUCAGGAGGCAAGAAAUAUGUGUGAAUGGAAUAAGAACUGUAUAUAGUUAUUGAUAAGCAUCUUCCAGUAUCUAACAUAUAAAGCCUCCUAGAGUACCCGCCAUUCAGGAGGCCUUCCCGUGCGCAUCAUUCCUGUCCGUUCGAUCUCCUUUGACUUUGGCUCCUGGUCGUUCGAUCAUUUGACUGGUGGUAAUUUUUGGUCACUGUGUAAUUAAUUUCUUGGCCUAUGACUGGUGGGCUCAGCACUCACAUGGAUUGGCUGGGUCAGUUGUUCCCUUGUCUGCGAGGGAUUAGGCAGCCACUCCGCGCCCGCCCCGUGCUCGACGUGCACAUCCUGAGCCCCGCGCCCCCUUGGCUCUCUCCUCUCCCUCCUUGUCUCCAACCCUAAACAUUUUCCCUCUCCACCCCACAGCCGCCUCCCCUAGCUCCUCGUCCCCUUCACUCAGUCCAUCCCUCAUCAUCUCGGAUCCAGCGGAUCUGAGGCGUGCGGGUGCGGAGGCGAGUUUCUCCGGCGGUGGCGGCGGCGGUCACCUGCAGGCAAAGGGCGGUGGCGGCACUCGAUUUGAUCUGCAGGAAAGAUAGAACAUGAGGAGAGAGAAGGAAGGAAAGGAGGAACGCCACCAUGGGCGAGGAGGGGCAACAUGGUCUUCGUGGUGGGAAUGGAGGAGCAGAGGAGGAUGGAGGUGGGUGGUGGGAGCAGAGUAGCAGGAGUUCCAGGUCCAGGCGAUGCUCGUGGAGUGGAGAAGC